rnacentral:rRNA from 1 species
AGAGUUUGAUCCUGGCUCAGGAUGAACGCUGGCGGCGUGCUUAACACAUGCAAGUCGAGCGAAGCAUUCUGCUUUAAAUCUUCGGAGGCGAAGCAGUCUGACUGAGCGGCGGACGGGUGAGUAACGCGUGGGCAACCUGCCUCAUACAGGGGGAUAACAGUUAGAAAUGACUGCUAAUACCGCAUAAGACCGCGGUACCGCAUGGUACAGCGGUAAAAACUCCGGUGGUAUGAGAUGGGCCCGCGUCUGAUUAGCUAGUUGGCGGGGUAACGGCCCACCAAGGCGACGAUCAGUAGCCGACCUGAGAGGGUGACCGGCCACAUUGGGACUGAGACACGGCCCAAACUCCUACGGGAGGCAGCAGUGGGGAAUAUUGCACAAUGGGGGAAACCCUGAUGCAGCGACGCCGCGUGAGCGAUGAAGUAUUUCGGUAUGUAAAGCUCUAUCAGCAGGGAAGAAAAUGACGGUACCUGACUAAGAAGCCCCGGCUAACUACGUGCCAGCAGCCGCGGUAAUACGUAGGGGGCAAGCGUUAUCCGGAUUUACUGGGUGUAAAGGGAGCGUAGACGGCAAUGCAAGCCAGAUGUGAAAGCCCGGGGCUCAACCCCGGGACUGCAUUUGGAACUGUGUAGCUGGAGUGUCGGAGAGGCAGGCGGAAUUCCUAGUGUAGCGGUGAAAUGCGUAGAUAUUAGGAGGAACACCAGUGGCGAAAGCGGCCUGCUGGACGAUGACUGACGUGAGGCUCGAAGCGUGGGGAGCAAACAGGAUUAGAUACCCUGGUAGUCCACGCCGUAACGAUGACUACUAA